rnacentral:rRNA from 1 species
UCGAACGGAGAUUAAGUAGCUUGCUAUUAAUCUUAGUGGCGCACGGGUGAGUAAUAUAUAGCUAACUUGCCCAUUACUAAGGGACAACAGUUGGAAACGACUGCUAAUACCUUAUACUCCGUAUCUAUAUAAGUAGAUACGGGAAAGUUUUUCGGUAAUGGAUAGGGCUAUAUCGUAUCAGCUAGUUAGUAAGGUAAUGGCUUACCAAGGCUAUGACGCGUAACUGGUCUGAGAGGACGAUCAGUCACACUGGAACUGGGACACGGUCCAGACUCCUACGGGAGGCAGCAGUAGGGAAUAUUGCUCAAUGGGGGAAACCCUGAAGCAGCAACGCCGCGUGGAGGAUGACACUUUUCGGAGCGUAAACUCCUUUUCUUGGUAAAGAAUUAUGACGGUACCCAAGGAAUAAGCACCGGCUAAUUCCGUGCCAGCAGCCGCGGUAAUACGGAGGGUGCAAGCGUUACUCGGAAUCACUGGGCGUAAAGGACGAGUAGGCGGAUUAUCAAGUCUCUUGUGAAAUGUAACGGCUUAACCGUUAACCUGCUUGGGAAACUGAUAAUGUAGAGUAAGGGAGAGGCAGACGGAAUUCUUGGUGUAGGGGUAAAAUCCGUAGAGAUCAAGAAGAAUACCCAUUGCGAAAGCGAUCUGCUGGAACUUACCUGACGGUAGUGCGUGAAAGCGUGGGGAGCAAACAGGAUU